rnacentral:rRNA from 1 species
UGGGGAAUAUUGCACAAUGGGCGCAAGCCUGAUGCAGCCAUGCCGCGUGUAUGAAGAAGGCCUUCUGGUUGUAAAGUACUUUCAGCGGGGAGGAAGGUGUUGAGGCUAAUAACCUCAGCAAUUGACGUUACCCGCAGAAGAAGCACCGGCUAACUCCGUGCCAGCAGCCGCGGUAAUACGGAGGGUGCAAGCGUUAAUCGGAAUUACUGGGCGUAAAGCGCACGCAGGCGGUCUGUCAAGUCGGAUGUGAAAUCCCCGGGCUCAACCUGGGAACUGCAUUCGAAACUGGCAGGCUAGAGUCUUGUAGAGGGGGGUAGAAUUCCAGGUGUAGCGGUGAAAUGCGUAGAGAUCUGGAGGAAUACCGGUGGCGAAGGCGGCCCCCUGGACAAAGACUGACGCUCAGGUGCGAAAGCGUGGGGAGCAAACA